rnacentral:rRNA from 1 species
UCCUACGGGAGGCAGCAGUGGGGAAUAUUGCACAAUGGGGGAAACCCUGAUGCAGCCAUGCCGCGUGUGUGAAGAAGGCCUUCGGGUUGUAAAGCACUUUCAGUAGGGAGGAAGGUAGUGUAGUUAACACCUGCAUUAUUUGACGUUACCUACAGAAGAAGCACCGGCUAACUCCGUGCCAGCAGCCGCGGUAAUACGGAGGGUGCGAGCGUUAAUCGGAAUUACUGGGCGUAAAGCGCAUGCAGGCGGCCUAUUAAGUCAGAUGUGAAAGCCCGGGGCUUAACCUCGGAAUUGCAUUUGAAACUGGCAGGCUAGAGUCUUGUAGAGGGGGGUAGAAUUUCAGGUGUAGCGGUGAAAUGCGUAGAGAUCUGAAGGAAUACCAGUGGCGAAGGCGGCCCCCUGGACAAAGACUGACGCUCAGAUGCGAAAGCGUGGGGAGCAAACAGGAUUAGAUACCCUGGUAGUCCACGCCGUAAACGAUGUCUACUUGGAGGUUGUGGCCUUGAGCCGUGGUUUUCGGAGCUAACGCGUUAAGUAGACCGCCUGGGGAGUACGGUCGCAAGAUUAAAACUCAAAUGAAUUGACGGA